UGGAGGCCAGAUGGAGACCAGGUGCUUUACCUUAAUGUGAGUGACAGCACAGUUCUGCUCAGUGAAUGCUCAGUGAGGAAUGACUGCCGGCUUGCCUCGCGUACACAACUGAUGGGCUUUGUAAGUUAUCCUUGCACUGAAUUUGUUUCAUCUGAAAAGACCCGAAGCAACAAGACCAAUGCCAUUCACCAAUAAAGGGAACCAGGUCUCCAUGGAAAAUGGCUGAUUCUAGGACCGAGACAGCUAAUACACAUCAUGGCCUAGAGAAUCUUGUAGUGCCAGCAAGCAAGGAAGUGCUAAGACAACAACAAUAAAAACCUCCAACUAUAGGGAGAUCUUUCUGGCCACCGUGCGGUGAAUGAGCAGUGGUGGGGCAGGCACCGAGGCUGACAGAGCACUUAGGAACCAUUGCGGUGGCCCAGGUAAGACGUGAUGGUUGGUUGAACUAAGAUGCUGGCUGCGGUCUUGGAGAGAAGUGAACAGAU